AUGGCGGCCUCCGUCGAGUACAACCGUCAGGUGUCCGCCCACCCGUGGCCGACCAAUGCGCAGCCCAAGGCCGCCUUCGACCUCUUCUCCUCCUCGGGCGGCAACGGCGGCAGGCGCCGCUCGGGCGCCGACUCCGACUCGGACGACGAGGACGGCAUCCCGCCGGACUGGCGCUCGCUCUACAGCCCGCGGCUCGACGUGGAGCCAUCGGUCAAGGACCCCCGCGACGAGGCCACCUCCGACGCCUGGGUCAAGCGCCACCCGGCGCUCGUCCGCCUCACCGGCAAGCACCCGUUCAACUCCGAGCCCCCGCUGCCGCGCCUCAUGUCCCACGGCUUCAUCACCCCGGUCCCGCUCCACUACGUGCGCAACCACGGCGCCGUGCCCAAGGCCGACUGGUCCACCUGGACCGUCGAGGUCACCGGCCUCGUCAAGCGCCCGGUGAAGCUCACCAUGGAGGAGCUCGUCACGGGGUUCCAGGCCGUCGAGUUCCCCGUCACGCUGGUGUGCGCCGGCAACCGCCGCAAGGAGCAGAACAUGGUGCGCCAGUCGUCGGGCUUCAACUGGGGCCCCGGGGCCAUUUCCACCACCGUGUGGCGCGGCGUGCGCCUCCGCGACGUGCUGCGCCGGUGCGGCGUCAUGGGGGCCGGCGUCGCGUCGAACGUGUGCUUCGAGGGCGCCGAGGACCUCCCCGGCGGCGGCGGGUGCAAGUACGGCACCAGCCUCCGGCGGUCCGUGGCCAUGGACCCGGCCCGCGACGUCAUCCUCGCCUACAUGCAGAACGGCGAGCCGCUGGCGCCGGACCACGGCUUCCCCGUGCGCGUCAUCGUGCCGGGCUUCAUCGGCGGGCGCAUGGUGAAGUGGCUGAAGCGCAUCGUCGUGGCCUGCAACGAGUCGGAGAGCUACUACCACUACCGCGACAACCGCGUGCUCCCGUCACACGUCGACGCCGAGCUCGCCAAUGCCGAAGCUUGGUGGUACAAGCCGGAGUGCAUGAUCAACGAGCUCAAUAUCAACUCGGUGAUCACCACGCCCGGACACGACGAGGUGCUGCCCAUCAACGCGCUGACGACGCAGAAGCCGUAUACGAUGAAGGGAUAUGCCUACUCCGGCGGUGGCCGGAAAGUUACGCGGGUGGAGGUGACCCUGGACGGCGGCGAGACGUGGCAGGUGUGCGAGCUGGACCACCCGGAGCGGCCGACCAAGUACGGCAAGUACUGGUGCUGGUGCUUCUGGUCCGUCGACGUCGAGGUGCUCGACCUGCUCGGCGCCAAGGAGAUGGCCGUCCGCGCGUGGGACGAGGCCCUCAACACCCAGCCGGAGAGGCUCAUCUGGAACCUCAUGGGCAUGAUGAACAACUGCUGGUUCCGGGUGAAGAUCAACGUCUGCCGCCCCCACAAGGGCGAGAUCGGCCUCGUCUUCGACCACCCGACGCAGCCGGGGAACCAGUCCGGCGGCUGGAUGGCGCGGCAGAAGCACAUCGAGACGUCCGAGACCACCCAGGGCACGCUCAAGCGGAGCACCUCCACGCCCUUCAUGUCCACCGCCUCCGCCCAGUACACCAUGUCCGAGGUGCGCCGCCACGCCUCCAAGGAGUCGGCGUGGAUCGUCGUGCACGGCCACGUCUACGACUGCACGGGCUUCCUCAAGGACCACCCCGGUGGCGCCGACAGCAUCCUCAUCAACGCCGGCUCCGACUGCACCGAGGAGUUCGACGCCAUCCACUCCGCCAAGGCCCGCGGCCUCCUCGAGAUGUACCGCGUCGGCGAGCUCAUCGCCACUGGCGCCGACUACUCGCCGCAGAGCAGCAACGCCGACCUCGCCGCCAUCGUCGAGGCUCCCUCUGUUGUUGUUGAGCCGCUUCCCCAGCUGCUGCCGGCCUCGACCGUCGCCCUCGCCAACCCGCGGGAGAAGGUGCGAUGCCGUCUCGUCGACAAGAAGAGCAUGUCCGACAACGUGCGCCUCUUCCGCUUCGCGCUCCCGUCGCCUGACCAGAAGCUCGGGCUGCCCGUCGGCAAGCACGUGUACGUCUGCGCGUCCACCGGCGGCAAGCUCUGCAUGCGCGCGUACACGCCCACCAGCUCCGUCGAGGAGGUCGGCCACGUGGAGCUCCUCAUCAAGAUAUACUUCAAGGACGAGGAUCCCAAGUUCCCCGCCGGCGGGCUCAUGUCGCAGUACCUCGACUCCCUGCCGCUCGGUGCACCCGUCGACAUCAAGGGCCCCGUGGGCCACAUCGAGUAUGCCGGCCGCGGCGCCUUCACGGUGGGCGGCGAGCGCCGGUUCGCGCGCCGGCUCGCCAUGGUGGCCGGCGGGACGGGGAUCACGCCCGUGUACCAGGUGAUCCAGGCCGUGCUGAGGGACCAGCCCGAUGACACCACGGAGAUGCACCUGGUGUACGCGAACCGCACCGAGGACGACAUGCUCCUGCGGAAGGAGAUCGACCGGUGGGCGGCCGCGCACCCCGCGCGGCUCAAGGUGUGGUACCUGGUGAGCAAGGUGGCGCGGCCGGAGGACGCGUGGGGAUACGGCGUGGGUAGGGUCAAUGAACAGGUCCUCAGAGAUCACCUGCCCCUGGGCGGCGACGGCAAGACGCUCGCGCUCGUCUGCGGGCCGCCGGCGAUGCUUGAGUGCACGGUGCGCCCGGGCCUGGAGAAGAUGGGGUACGACCUCGACAAGGAUUGCCUCGUCUUCUAA
rnacentral:rRNA from 1 species